CUGAGUUACACUUAGGUUGUAACUCUGAGAUUAGAGUGAUUCAGCAACAUGUGAUAACACAGUUAUCAGUGCUGUGGGUUUGGCUAAACCGGUGAUAGAUAAUGAAGCCAACAGCAGCCACCUUGGAUUAAUGAGAGUCUCCCAUGAACUGGAAGUGCUGAUAAUUCCUUAGUUUGGAGAGUGACUGAAAAAAAAAAUCAUUCAUACAGUCUGCAAAGGCACUUUUAAUAUUAGAUUAGUCUAGCUGUGAUGAAGGAUUGUACAUUAACAGGAGCUGCGGCAGCCUGUCACCAGGAAAUACUGCUUUACUCAGAAUGGGUGACAUCAAAGAAAUGCCAUGGAGCAGUCAACUCAGAACUCAUAGUUGCCCAUCAAUCGCUCAGUAGUCAGUGUAGAUUCUGUUUUUACAAUCAGCAGCUACAUCUGGCUACUGGGUCUCUGAUGACAUCUUGUAGCUUCCACAUGGUUUGCUGAAGAUUAUUUAUCACUCUAUGAUGAAGUGAUCUUUGUGGCUCCAAGAUACAAAAUAAAUAAUGAGUUAUCCCUUGGAAAUGAUAAAUAUCUAAUAAGGACUGAAAUAUUUGUUACAUACAGUGCAUAGUUUGGAUUUGUUAGAAAAUUAUGGGGAGGUAGGGAGGGGCUGUUUUGGUUUUGUUUUGUUUUAAGGAAAGUGUCACUAUUUUCUCCAGCAUGUAGUCAUGUGGCCUGUAAUAUAAAUAUAGUUCUCUACUGUUCCAAAACCUUCUGGCUAAGGAAGGAAGUAUAGAAAAGACCUACCUGAUGAUUUAUUUUGAUUUGGUAUGCUUGAUAAAACACACUUUCUGAUAUGUCAAACCACAGGUUUGGAAGAAUGAGCACCAUAAGCAGUAGUGUGUGCUUUCAGAGCCAUUUGGAGAAGUGUAAGGAUCAGACACUAGAAGACUCUCCAGGUUUGGGGCAUGAACCUGGCAUACAAUGUAGAUUUCUGUAUUUCUUAAGCAACAGCUACAUUGUCUGCUGGGUUUCAAGCUGCCUGGAAAUUCAAAACAAAAUGGUAUCCUACUUAUCCUAUAGGACAAGUAUUACAUGUGGUAUACCAGUCCAUUGACUAUGCUUAUUGCAACCUGAGCGGAGAGUUAGUUAAUGUGUUGGCACACUAGACUUUCACUUCUGUAACUAAAUUUCUCAAACUGCAUCAAAAGUGAAAACAAAUGUUAUCUUCACCUGUGCAAAUUAAUAUACAGCAAAAUGAUGCAGUGACUGUAAGUUUCAGUUUGAGAAGCUGAAGGAGAGGACUAGAAUAACAGAAGGCUAUUAUGGAUCAGGCUUGAAAAGGGCAACGACAGCUGUGUGGGGAAGUUUGCACAGCAUGUGCUAAAUACUCUGUGCCUGAUUCCAGUUUGUGGUGUUAACCUCUCAUUGACAACUUGCAGUGCAUGUGCACCUUAACUAUAUGUUGAAAGUCAUAAUUGAUAAGAUAAUUCUCGAACUUUAAUUUGCCUUUGAUUAUACUGUGCUGGUCAUGGACUUCUGGUUUGUGAUAAUGGAUGACAGUUUUGUAGGGAGGUAGUCUCUCUGAUCAAGAAGGCAUUAUUAAUUUAGGACUCUACACUUAUACCAAUUACAGGAGGCAUAUCAAAGAUACCGCUACUUGAAUACAAUAAUGUAAGAGGCAGAAGGGAUCUGUAAAUAUAAUGCGACAGCAAAAUUAUGUCUUAAACUUCAAAUAAAGCUGCUAAUUAA